rnacentral:tRNA from 1 species
UCCCUGGAGGUCUAGUGGUUAAGACUCUGCACUCCCAAUGCAGGAGGCAUGGGUUCAAUCCCAUCCCUGGUG